rnacentral:lncRNA from 1 species
UUGGCAGAAUCUCUAAUUUUUCUUAACUGUUAAAAUUAAAUAAAGAAAUUCAUGUUCAGAAUCUUAGUUAAUUGCAAUUUCAUUACAAAGUAGUGACCUGUAAACCAUUUACUUUAUAAAAGAUAUAAAUUCUAGGCUGAGGUUAAACAAAAAUUUUGGCAUAAACUAAUGAGACCCAGAUGAUUUCUUUCCGGGAUAUGACAGUCCAUGGGACUGCCUGAGGCCAUUCUAGGUCAACAAGAGUUUUUAAGGAACUAGUUUUAAUUUCUUCUCUAAAAAUGCUGGUGGGAAAACAUUUGCAUCUAUAUUCUUUGGUCUUAUGAUUUUCCUACAGAUUGGAGAUCAUGUCCUUAAUAAAUAAUUUUGAAGGGUACUUAAAAAUAUGUUUUCAUCAAAUUGUUCAUAAGAGAACUUGAAAUCUGUGAAAUUUUAUUAUUAGUGAUAUUCUAUCUAAAUGAAAUUUGCUCAUUUCUGUUCUCAUUAGCAUACUGAUGCCCCUGGAGGAAAAGAGCUGGUGUAAUGCAUUAUUGCAGAUAUAAUCAUCUUGUUCAGCCCCAGUUACUGAUGAUUAUGACACCUAAACACUUGAGUCUGGUUCUCGUGGAAGCACAUUAAGACUGGAGACUGAGAGUUCAGAGAAUGUCACCGACUGGCCCAAGAAUGAUCCAAGUGCCUGCGCUCAGUUCUGCAAAAAUGUUCCUCUUUAUCAAGGGUUAAUGAUGGUAAGUUCAGAGCACAGCUGCAGUGUUGUACUGUUUCUUGGCUUUGAGAUUUGAACUCUUUAAGAGGAAUUGAAAAGAGAUUAUAAACUUUAUAUCAUUCAGAUGCUUUAUAAUUAUUAGAUCAAUCAUGAAGCCUCAUCUGUGCUAAAAUCUUUGGGUGUGGAGCUCUGU